rnacentral:rRNA from 1 species
ACUUAUGAUCUGUAAUGAUGAGGGCCUUAAAAAAGUAAAAGCAGACCCAAGAGCUAGGAUCGUUGGAAUUAGUGUUGUCGGAGACGAUCCAAUAAUGAUGCUAGGUGGACCAAUACCUGCUUCACAUAAAGUUUUAAAAGCUACUAAUCUAAAUAUUAAUGAUAUUGAUCUUUAUGAGGUCAAUGAAGCUUUUGCUCCUGUCCCGUUAUCUUGGGCUAUUGAGUUAAAAGCAGAUAUGUCAAAAUUAAAUGUAAAUGGUGGAGCAAUGGCUUUAGGUCAUCCUUUAGGUGCGACUGGCGCUAAACUGAUGACAACAUUACUGCAUGAACUUGAAAGAACAAAUGGAAGGUAUGGCUUGCAAGCAAUCUGUGAGGGGGGUGGAACGGCUAAUGCAUGCACCGAAACCCUAAGGGUUCCUCCGGCAGGCUCGUCCGCGGAGGGUUAGUCUGGACCUAAGGCGAGGCCGAAAGGCGUAGUCGAUGGAUAACAGGUCAACAUUCCUGUACCGGUUAUGUUUUGGGAAGAGGGACGGAGAAGGCUAGCCAAGCCAGAUGUUGGUUACUGGUUCAAGCGUUCGAGGCGUUGAGGAUCGGCGAAAACGAUCCGAGCUGAGGCGUGAGUACGAGCUGCUACGGCAGCGAAGUUGGUGAUGUCAUGCUUCCAAGAAAAGCUCUAUGCCCGUUAAGGCAUAACUGCCAGUACCCGAAACCGACACAGGUGGGGUGGUAGAGAAUACCGAGGUGCGCGAGGUAACUCUCUCUAAGGAACUCGGCAAAAUGGCCCCGUAACUUCGGGAGAAGGGGUGCCACAGCAAUGUGGUCGCAGUGAAGAGGCCCUGGCGACUGUUUACCAAAAACACAGGUCUCCGCUAAGUCGCAAGACGAUGUAUGGGGGCUGACGCCUGCCCAGUGCCGGAAGGUUAAGGAAGCCGGUCAGCGUAAGCGAAGCUGGCGACUGAAGCCCCGGUGAACGGCGGCCGUAACUAUAACGGUCCUAAGGUAGCGAAAUUCCUUGUCGGGUAAGUUCCGACCCGCACGAAAGGCGUAACGAUCAGGGCGCUGUCUCGGAGAGAGGCUCGGCGAAAUAGAAUUGUCUGUGAAGAUGCGGACUACGUACACCUGGACAGAAAGACCCUAUGAAGCUUUACUGUAGCUUGGUAUUGUGUCCGGGCUCUGAAUGCGCAGGAUAGGUGGGAGAUGUUGAUCUCGUGCUCGUGGGUACGAGGGAGUCAAUGGUGAGAUACCACUCUUUCAGAGCUAGGAUUCUAACGUUCACCCGUUAUCCGGGGAGCGGACAGUAUCAGGUGGGCAGUUUGACUGGGGCGGUCGCCUCCUAAAAGGUAACGGAGGCGCGCAAAGGUUUCCUCAGGCUGGUUGGAAAUCAGCUGACGAGUGCAAAAGCAGAAGGAAGCUUGACUGUGAGACCUACAAGUCGAACAGGGACGAAAGUCGGCUUUAGUGAUCCGACGGUUCUGAGUGGAAGGGCCGUCGCUCAACGGAUAAAAGUUACUCUAGGGAUAACAGGCUGAUCUCCCCCAAGAGUUCACAUCGACGGGGAGGUUUGGCACCUCGAUGUCGGCUCAUCGCAUCCUGGGGCGGUAGUACGUCCCAAGGGUUGGGCUGUUCGCCCAUGAAAGCGGUACGCGAGCUGGGUUCAGAACGUCGUGAGACAGUUCGGUCCAUAUCCGGUGCAGGCGUUAGAGUAUUGCGAAGACUCCUCCUUAGUACGAGAGGACCGGGGGGAAUGCACCGCUGGUGUACCAGUUAUCGUGCCAACGGUAAACGCUGGGUAGCCAAGUGCAGUUUGGAUAACUGCUGAAAGCAUCUAAGUAGGAAGCCAGCUUCAAGAUGAGUACUCUCACCGCUUUAAGCGGGUAAGAUCACGGCAAGAACAGCCGUUUGAUAGGCAUCAAGUGUAAGUGCAGCAAUGUAUUCAGCUGAGAUGUACUAAUAGAUCGAGGGCUUAUUUAA